rnacentral:rRNA from 1 species
UACGGAGGGGGCUAGCGUUGUUCGGAAUUACUGGGUGUAAAGCGCGCGUAGGCGGGUCACUAAGUCAGGGGUGAAAUCCCGAGGCUUAACCUCGGAACUGCCUUUGAUACUGGUGACCUGGAGAUCGGGAGAGGUUGGUGGAAUUCCGAGUGUAGAGGUGAAAUUCGUAGAUAUUCGGAGGAACACCAGAAGCGAAGGCGGCCAACUGGCCCGAUACUGACGCUGAGGCGCGAAAGCGUGGGGAGCAAACAGG